GGGCUAAUGAUGCUACCUUCAAUUAUCUUAGCGGAUUUCAAUCAGAUUUCUACCAUGAUCUGAUUGCUACACACACUGAAGCCC